ACGAUCAAGGUUCAGUUUUUCUCCCACAGGGUUUUUGUAACUUGACGAGGUUUUUGACGAGGCAACAGAUCAGCACCAUCGGCAUAUCAGCGCGCGGCACAAGGGGGAGUGUUCUAGGAUAUUCUGUAUCUUUUUAGAUAUUCUUUAUGUGUGCCUUGGCCUUAUGCCAAUAGGAUAUGUAUUUAGACUAGAUCUAUGUAUUCAUAUCCUUACCAUAUUGAUAUUGUGUAAUUCCUUAUAUAAAGUAGGGGUGGGCAUAAAAAACCUAAAUCCCGGUCCCGUCCCGAUCCCGUCCUGAAAUUUGACGGGAUGGGACGGGAUAUAAUUCUAAAAACACAAGGCCCGUCCUGUCCCGUCCUGUAGAGAAACAACGGGACUAGACGCGGGAUUGAAAAGUUGAGACCCGUCAGGCCCGUCCCGUCCCGUGUAAAAAUAUAGACUAAUCUAAGCCAUUGGUUUUUUAGAUGUUUUGAUCUCAACCUUACAUUUUUUAACCCUAAUACUAACUCAUCUCAGUCUCACUUGCUGUCUUUCACUCUCUGUCUCUCACUCUUUCAGUUUCAUCGCUCUCAACCCUCCAGCCAAACCUUAAUCGAGCCAAACCGCCUCAGCCAGUCCUCCUCCGCUAACCUAACCCGCCCGCCUCCUCCUCACCUCGGCGCCAGCCUCCUCCUCACCUCGCCCGCCUCCUCCUCACCUCGCCCGCCUCCUCCUCGCCUCGCCUCACCUCGGCGCCCUCCUGGCCUCCUCCUCGCCUCGGCGCCCUCCUCACCUCGCCCUCCUCUCCUCCUCCUCACCUCGCCCUCCUCGCCUCCUCCUUGCCUCCUCCUCACCUCGCCCUACUGGU
rnacentral:lncRNA from 1 species